rnacentral:rRNA from 1 species
CGUUGCUCGGAAUUAUUGGGCGUAAAGCGCACGUAGGCGGCAUUGCAAGUCGGAUGUGAAAUCCCUCGGCUUAACCAAGGAAGUGCAUCCGAAACUGCAGUGCUUGAGUACUUAAGAGGAUCGCGGAAUUCCCGGUGUAGAGGUGAAAUUCGUAGAUAUCGGGAGGAACACCAGUGGCGAAGGCGGCGAUCUGGGAAGAUACUGACGCUGAGGUGCGAAAGCGUGGGGAGCAAACAGG